rnacentral:rRNA from 1 species
UAAACGCUGGCGGCGCACAUAAGACAUGCAAGUCGAACGGAAGUCGUUAUAAAAAGGAUUGAAGAUUUAUCUGAUUGAGAUUUUAUAACAAUGGCUUUAGUGGCGGACUGGUGAGUAACGCGUGAGCAACCUGCCUACUAGAGGGGAAUAACAGUGAGAAAUCAUUGCUAAUACCGCAUAUGCCAUGAACAUCACAUGAUGAAAAUGGGAAAAGAGUAAUCUACUAGUAGAUGGGGAUGCGUCUGAUUAGCUUGUUGGCGGGGUAACGGCCCACCAAGGCGACGAUCAGUAGGGGUUCUGAGAGGAAGGUCCCCCACAUUGGAACUGAGACACGGCCCAGACUCCUACGGGAGGCAGCAGUGGGGGAUAUUGCACAAUGGAGGAAACUCUGAUGCAGCAACGCCGCGUGAGGGAAGAAGGUCUUCGGAUUGUAAACCUUUGUUUUUGGUGACGAACAAAUGACGGUAGCCAAAGAGGAAGCCACGGCUAACUACGUG